rnacentral:misc_RNA from 1 species
AAUCCUCAACCUACAAGCUUUUGUGGUUUGUAGGCUUGGACUUGGAGGCUUGUCGGCCGUUAUCGGUCGGCUCCUCUUAAAUGCAUUAGCUUGGUUCCUUGCGGAUCGGCUCUCGGUGUGAUAAUGUCUACGCCGCGACCGUGAAGCGUUUGGCGAGCUUCUAACCGUCUUAUAAGACAGCUUUAUGAC